rnacentral:rRNA from 1 species
AUGGAUGAAAUAAAAGGUAUCACUAAUGAUUUUUUCAAGAAUCUUUAUUCCUGUGAUUCUGUGGUUAAUCCGUCCCGUAUCAUUUCUCUUGUGAAAUCAUUGGCGACUGAUCAAAUGAAUGAGGAUCUUUGUAAGCCAUUUUCUGAGCAAGAAAUCAGCGAUGCCCUAUUCCAAAUAGGGCCGUUAAAGGCCCCGGGGCCAGAUGGAUUUCCUGCCAGGUUUUUUCAAAGAAAUUGGGGGCUGCUUAAGGAGGAUAUUGUUCGUGCCAUCCAGCAAUUUUUUAUUUCUGGAACUAUGCCUGAAGGGAUAAAUGAUACAACUAUUGUUCUUAUUCCUAAGGUGAAGAAUCCUUAGUCCAUAAAAGACUUCUGUCCAAUCAGUCUUUGUAAUGUGAUUUAUAAGAUUAUCUCUAAGUGCCUGGUCAACAGACUAAGACCUCUGCUAGAUGGUAUGAUUUCUCCUACCCAAAGUGCAUUCAUCCCUGGAAGAUCAAUAUCUGAUAAUGCACUUAUCGCGUUUGAAUGUAUGCACUCUUUAAAUACGUUAAAAGAUAGCCGUGGUGAAUUUUGUGCAUAUAAGUUGGAUCUCGCUAAAGCGUAUGACCGUGUCGAUUGGAAUUUCUUGGAAAGAAUGCUUCAAGCGUGUGGUUUUGCUCCAACAUGGAUUAAGUGGAUCAUGUCUUGUGUUACCACUGUGAAGUUUCUUGUGCGUUUGAAUGGCCAGCUGUUAGAGCCUUUUCAUCCUUCUCGUGGUCUCGGGCAAGGGGAUCCACUAUCACCAUACUUAUUCCUCUUUGUGGCUGAAGCAUUGUCGUUGCUACUUAAUGAUGCUUCGGCAAGAGGGGCUAUUCAAGAGUUCCGGCUAAACAGACAUGCCCCAGGUAUAUCUCAUCUCCUUUUUGCUGAUGAUAGUCUCCUGUUUUUUAAGGGUAACUUGGAGCAAGCUCUGAAUAUUAAAGGCAUUUUGUCGGCUUAUGAGGAGGGAACUGGCCAACUAUUAAGUCCGGAUAAAUGCUCCAUAUUAUUUGGCAAAAAUUGUUCUAUGGAAGACCAGGUGUCUAUUCUGGUUAUCCUUAAAAUCACGAUUGAUGGUUUUGAGGUUCAAUAUUUAGGCUUGCCUAUUCCAGAAGGUCGUAUGAAGGCACGUAAGUUUCAAUCCACCAAAGAUAAGGUGCUCAAGCGGGUUUCAGAUUAUAUUGAAAAAUAUGCUUCGAGCGGAGCGAAAGAAAUCCAGAUCAAGUCUGUUAUUCAAGCUAUUCCCGUGUUUGCAAUGGGUAUUUUUAAAUUCCCCGCUUCACUGUGUGAGGAGUUAUCUCAGAUUAUCAGGAAUUUUUGA